UCAAUAACAAAUAAUUAUAGCAAUCCGGGCUUAAACACUUAAGAAGUGCCACAUUAUGCUAUGCACAACCUUUCAGUUUUCCCUGCUUUCCAACUUCUACAGUGCAGCUUAAAUUGCAAAAUCAAAAUAUUCAUUUCACAGAUUUCAAAACAUAUAAUUCUUGCAUAAACAUGAAAUAAUGACGCUGCACACUGCUGAAAACUUGUAGUUUGUCUCUGGCAUGAUCAUAGCAUUACAAAUUUGAAUUACUACAGAGGAAAUACCAUUACAGGAUAUUUGGUAGUGCUUAAAUGCAGUUUUCUAAGAUUCUUCUUUUGGCACUGCCACUUCUAAGCACAACCAAACAUUCACUUAGUUGAGUCACCAAAAUUGUAGAUGCAUAAUCGUAUGUAUAAAUUAAACACCAACACAUAAUUCACAGGCCCGAUGAAUGUUUCUCUGCAUUUAUUCCAACCCACAUAACAGAAAACAGAACAUAAUGUGGUAACGGAUAGCUAAAAAACAAUGAGAGGGAGAUCAUACAUUGUUCUUGAUAAUAUUCCUGCGGGCAAGAAACCUCGCAACAGGAGGCGUAAGUGCAAAAGUAAUCGGAACCCUAACCGGAAACAGAGCCUUAUUCAGCAAAACCGCAAGAGCCAAAGCCCCGCCGCUUGAAGCCACCAGCUCGGUAGUCCGAUUUCUCUCCUUUUUCACAUCAUUCUUUACCGGUUGCUCCAUUAUGAACCCGUCGGAGGAGGCAUCAGUAUAAAUAGUUGUAAUUUCGGNNNNN
rnacentral:lncRNA from 1 species